CUGAUGCAGAUCCUAUUUAUGUGCCUCUGGUUCUGGUUCUGGACUUCUUUAACAUCUAACCCCAAGGCAUCUCCCCAAGAUGACCACAGUUGUCCCUGAAGAAGCAGUCACAGCAAGCUCACUUCACAGGAACCAAGCUGUGGGCUGAUCCUACAGACUUGAAAAGACAACUCAAAAAGAUUGUCUGUGGGGUCAGAAACAGCUCUGGAGGGGUCUGCAGAAAUUACUUUCCCAAGUCUUUGGGCUGGAAGGAACGAACAGUGCCUGACCAAGGACUUUGAGCAGGAGAGAGAUGGGAGCAGAGAGGAGCCAAGGUCUACUAUUUUCACUUCUGUCAAUUAGAUCAAAGCCCUGCCCAGAAGCUUUGAGCGCCGCUGUCAAGUCCCAUUCCUCCCCUAAACCAUCCAGGUUCCAUCUGCCUUGAAGCCAAAGGAUCUUCUUAGAUUCCUCAAGAAAAAUUCAGGCCCCGAGUUUCUCCACCAGCACUCUCCUCUCCCCGAAGGAGUGGGUGGGCUGCAUUUCUCUUCAUAUUCUAUUCCAUUCCAGACCGUCUUGGACUACCAGCCUGUCCGCCACCCCUCGGGGCCCUCCCUCCUACUCUGCCCUUGCCCGCUGAGGUCCCAAGCUGAGGAGAUGAGCCGAGCAGUAAAAAGAGAGGAGGUUUGGAAAAGCAAUGUCCUCUCAGUCUUUAAUAGGUGGCCCCCCUGGGAACCUGCUGGAAGUGGAAGUUAAUAAGCUGAAGGUGGUCACAACCAAUCUCUGCCACACUCGCACCCUACCCCACCCCAAAUCAUUCCUUUUAAUUAAUAGUGGAAGACCUUUUUAAAAAUGUAACAUGAAUUGGCUAUUUCUUGAGGCAAACAAAAGGUGGCUCUGAAGCGAUAUAUUUGUACUCGUAUAAAUUCAUUAAAAUAGAA
rnacentral:lncRNA from 1 species